AUGGAAACAUCCGAUAAUACCGAAUACUUAUUAUUUUUGCAUGAAAGUAAUAUAAAAGGAAGCGUUUGCUUCGCUAAAAGAUCGGAGUGCGCAACAUUAGCUAGUUGGUGAGGUAACGGCCCACCAAGGCGAUGAUGUUUAGCGGGGUUGAGAGAUUGAUCCGCCACACUGGGACUGAGAUACGGCCCAGACUCCUACGGGAGGCAGCAGUAGGGAAUAUUCCACAAUGGACGAAAGUCUGAUGGAGCGACACAGCGUGCAGGAUGAAGGCCCUAUGGGUUGUAAACUGCUGUGGUUAGGGAAGAAAAA
rnacentral:rRNA from 1 species